GUAAAGCGCGCGUAGGCGGAUAGGUUAGUUGGAGGUGAAAUCCCAGAGCUCAACUUUGGAACUGCCUUCAAUACUGCCUGUCUAGAGAGCGAAAGGGGUGAGCGGAAUUUCCAGUGUAGAGGUGGAAUUCGUAGAUAUUGGAAAGAACACCAGAGGCGAAGGCGGCUCACUGGGUCCCUUCUGACGCUGAGGCGCGAAAGUGUGGGGAGCGAACAGGAUUAGAUACCCUGGUAGUCCACACUGUAAACGAUGAGCACUAGCUGUCGGGCUUCGGCUCGGUGGCGCAGCUAACGCGUUAAGUGCCCCGCCUGGGGAGUACGGCCGCAAGGCUAAAACUCAAAGGAAUUGACGGGGGCCCGCGCAAGCGGUGGAGCAUGUGGUUUAAUUCGAGGCAACGCGAAGAACCUUACCAGCUCUUGACAUCCUGGUCGCGGAGAAUGGAGACAUUCACCUUCAGUUCGGCUGGACCAGUGAC
rnacentral:rRNA from 1 species